GCUUUUCUGCAUCCUUCUGCUCCUCGUGCCGGAAUGUCUGCACGGCUCUGAUCUGGAGGUCAGCUGAAGUGGAAAACGUGCAGGCGAGUCUGGAUAAGCCCAGCCACCGGUAAGGACACAUCCUUUUUUUGCCAUUAUAAGCUGGGACAAGAUGAUAAUCUUGUGAUGAAAACUAAAUUCAACACAGCAUCCUUUAGGACUAAUACAGUAAUAUCUGCGUCUCCGAAAAAAGUACAUGUGUUUCAUUUCAUACUCAAAUUCCUUAAUUCAAUAUAUAAUUUAGUCUCAAGGUUUAAUUGAAACUGGAUACAUGUGGCUUGUCCACAAUUUAUAAUAUUAAAGUGAACCUUCAAGAUAGAUGUAUAAGAUGAUCUCUGAACUAAGCCUCUGGCCAUAACACCUAUUUGUUUUGUUCUGGCGUAUCUGUUUUGCGUAUAAAUAAUGAACAUAGAGGGUGAACAUUAAUGAAAAGUUUAGUGAAACUUGUAAAGCGAAGUGGCUGUGAAGUAUAGGGUUAAACCUGCUGUCUAAUCAGUCUUUCAGCUGCGUUAACCUGGGUGAGAAUCUGAUUUCAGCGGCUCAGCAAAGGUUACUGCUGAUUAAAGAGGGGGGGGGGGGAAAUCAAGGUUUAUCCCCCGCGAAUUCUCUGUGCCGCAAUUAGGUGGCAUCAGAAGCAUAACGGAUUUAUCGUACAUCUACAAACCUAUUGCGUAAAAUGAACGUGGAAAAUAUGUUUUUGCGCUGUAUGGCGUGUAAUGCAGGAAAAAGCAGUGUACCAUCAAUAUACCGGCAUGAAUCCGGCUAUUAGAGUGACAGUAUCUGUAGAUAUAUUUUUAAAAAAGGAAAAUAUGUUUGCAGGAGUGUAACUGAGUUUCUCGAUCGUUUAAAACAUCAGUAAAACAGUGUUCAACGAUUUACUGAUGUGUUGAUUCUACAGUAAACAGAAGUAACAGUACAGGUUUGUGCUUCACAAAUGAAUGUUCCAGGGAAAAUACUUGGCCUGGCUUUCUUUUUUGCUUUUAUUACUUGGAUAGAGAAUUGUAUAUAUAUUACAUAUUAUUAUUAUUAUUAUUAUUAUUGAUAGUAAAAGCAUUCUGAAAAGUAAAUCCUGACAGGGGAGUCAAUUUCAAGCCAAAUAUAUGUAAUGUUAUCAUCCUUACAGAUUAAUGUAUUUAAAAAAAAACACUCACCAAAAAUUCAUACAUAUUAAAUUCCUGAAAUCCGAUCCUGAACACCAACAAUUACAUUUGCAAUCUCAGUCUGCAGUGUCAGUAAUGUAAGUUAAUAUUAGGUUUGUGCUUGAUUUUGUUUAAUUUUAACAUGACAAUUGGCACUUGAAUGGGCUGUUACAUCAGCCGUAGCUCAUUCACCGGCAGCGUUUCUCCUGCCAGCCAUGGAGGCAGAGAUUUCUGGCAGCAGCCUGCUCCUUUGAAAAGUGAUCCAAAGUGGCGGCUUUAUUAAAUCACAGAUCAAGUAAGAGGAGACAUUCUUCCACCAUUUCUACGAACGGAACCUGUCCGCCCGCGCAACAAUGAUUUCAAUUACACCACUGACAAUGAUAGUAGCAUGAGUUACCAUGGUUAAAGGUGUUUGCUGUUACAAACACAGGUAUGUCAUUACACAUCUGGUGUGCAAUGGACUGGUAUAAUUCCUGUAUUUUGCUUUUGGGUGCCUGUUUGUUCUAUAUUCUGUAAUUAUUUUACAGUAUGUAACGUAUAUAUUUUGACAUUAUUUUAGAUUUACUGAUCUAAAAGUAUAACAAAUAGUUAAACAUAUAUAAAACAUAGGAACAUAUUUAAAACAUAUAGAAGGUUAAAAAUAUUAAUAUUUUAUAGCUAUAAAUAGUUUACCCCUACCAUUAAUGCAGGUGACAAGCAAAAUGUAUGAAGAAAAUGAGCCAAAACACUUAUCUGCGCCUAUAGCAUUUUAAGAUAGACCUAAUUACUCUGUUGAUGUGUAACAAUGCUACAUAGUUCACAGAGACCCAAAGAUGGAACCUUGUGAAAUUGAACUAGAACUAGGAAUGUUUUAGAAUGUAUCACAUUUUUUAUUCCAUAAAAUACUACACAAGAUACUCAAGAAAUAUUCUACUCUAAUAAACAGCUGAUGAUCAACUGAAGAUCAACUUAACUGCGGAGUUGGAGAGUUCGGGUCCCGAAAGCACUAAUCCAGAACAAGGUUUUGUUCCAACUAACCCGCUGAAGACUCUAUACUCAACUGGCUGGUUGAACCAAAACCUUGCUCUGGAUUUGUACUUUCUGGAUGUGAACUUUCCACCUCUGCUAAACUGUCAUAUGGCUGCGUAUCCACAACAUAAACUUUCACGAAUGCAUGUGUGUUAAUAUCAGUUAGACAUCUUAGGGGCAUGUAAACACCACGUUUAUCCCGCCACACAGCCAGAGGCAGCAUUGUCUGUGAUCUCAGCGCACUUCACUUUUGGCAUGGACUGUAUGGUAUGCAGGAGCUGGGCGCUGGGCUCAGCUAAUUCGCUGCACUUAGGAUACGAGUUGGCUGAUAAGACUGAAGACAAUGGUGCUCUAUUUGUAAAGAUACACGCACGACCAAGGCGAAAGUACGUGCACAUUCCGAUGGUUUGGCCAUGUUGCAUCCAGUGGAAGUUCUUUUCUACUUUGUUUGUUUUUAAAGUCUGCCUGGAAAGGAUAUAUACCCAGCAAAAAAUAAGAGAAGAUAUAUAACAAAAGACACAAAAACCACAAUGAUGUUCCCCCUCAAAGACAAGGCAGUGUGACAUUAAGUUAAAUAAAUUUUAUCUUGUAUUUUAAUGUAAUACCCUCAUACCUAGACCACUCUGUCUUGCUGGAGGAAAUGUACUGCCAACAGCAAGACACAAUUAACAGUGUUAAUUGUUUAAUCAGUAAAAACAAUAGCAAAAAAAAAAGAUUUCAUGCAACUAUCAAAAUUAACUGCUGAUCCUGGUCAGUGUGGUGGUGGUGGGGGGGGAUGCCAGUCUAUCAUAGGGCAACGGGCUGGGGUACUCCAUGGAUGGGAUGCCAGUUUAUCACAGGGCACGGGGCUGGGGAACACCCUGGGCAGGAUGCCUAUCCAUCACUACAAAACAGAUCUUAUCAGGUUAAUAAUUAUAUGAAAAAGCAAGUAUGGAUAAUUUAGCUAGAAUUUUCAUGUUUCCCAGUCUAAUUUUUCAUUAUGCAGUAGAGUACAAAAGUCUUAGGCACUCCUAGGAAAUGUUUAAAGUGGUUUAUCUGAGUAGUAAGAGUGUAUUUGCUCAGAAUACACAAUUUUACAUUAGAACAUAUGCAAGUUAAGAGUAACACAACAGAAACUAACAAGUAUUUGUUCUGUUCUCCAAAAAGUGACUGAUUCCUAGUUGGACGGCUAGAUGAACACCACUUCAGGUCCCAAACUUCUCAGGGGCACCCCAGCCAUUACAUGUGUUGGUUACAUUUCACGUCCAGCUCAAUUAAUUAAUUAAUUUAAUUAUUUAUGAGGUAUUGAUUAGUCAUAUGAAGUGGGGUAGCGAUCGGGCCAAACAAAUGUACAGGUGUAUUGGAUGGUUACUGUAAUUACUGGGGUGACUUUAGCAGAGGUUUGGAAUCAGCCAGGCUGGCUAUAGUUUUACACCAACAUGAAGAUCAUUUGAACAUCAUUUUCUUUCACUGCCUAAGACUAUUGCAAACUCCUGUUUGUCCAGUGAAGAGAAGGGUGUAACCCUUUUAAGAGACCUUUAGCCGCAUGUCUAGAAUGUUCCACCUUGUGCCAUUUGCUUCUUGGCAUAGUCUUGCACUGCGUGAAUCACUGGACGGAGAAAGGAUAACAUAGUAAUAAAGAUACAUCUGACAUCUGCAAAUCUUACCUCUACACAGAAAUGUCAGUCAAGGUUAAGAUUUGCUAGGAAUGACUAGCUGGAUAAUAAAGUUUUUCUUUUGAUAUUCUUACAUGUUUUGCAAAACAUGUCUUAACUGAAACAUUAGUUAACAUCUUAUUUAACACAACUGACACCUGACUGCAUUUACUGUUGGUGGAUAGUGCUGUGUAAUGAUCACUCAUUUGGUAAAAAGGGUAACUCAGGAAAAAUGAUGGAGUGGACAUUCGUUUCAGUUGAAAUGUCCAAACAGUUAAUUCAAAAGAAAACACGGAAGCAGCAUGGUGAAAAGCGACAGGGGCCUACGGAGUUACCCACUGUGCCCUAGCAGACAGACAGGGGCCUACGGAGUUACCCACUGUGCCCUAGCAGACAGACAGGGGCCUACGGAGUUACCCACUGUGCCCUAGCAGACAGACAGGGGCCUACGGAGUUACCCACUGUGCCCUAGCAGACAGACAGGUGCCGACAGAGUUACCCACUGUGCCCUAGCAGACAGACAGGUGCCGACAGAGUUACCCACUGUGCCCUAGCAGACAGACAGGGGCCUACGGAGUUACCCACUGUGCCCUAGCAGACAGACAGGGGCCUACGGAGUUACCCACUGUGCCCUAGCAGACAGACAGGGGCCUACGGAGUUACCCACUGUGCCCAAGCAGACAGACAGGGGCCUACGGAGUUACCCACUGUACCCUAGCAGACAGACAGGUGCCGACGGAGUUACCCACUGUGCCCUAGCAGACAGACAGGUGCCGACAGAGUUACCCACUGUGCCCUAGCAGACAGACAGGGGCCUACGGAGUUACCCACUGUGCCCUAGCAGACAGACAGGUGCCGACGGAGUUACCCACUAUGCCCUAGCAGACAGACAGGGGCCUACGGAGUUACCCACUGUGCCCUAGCAGACAGAGAGGUGCCGACGGAGUUACCCACUAUGCCCUAGCAGACAGACAGGGGCCUACGGAGUUACCCACUGUGCCCUAGCAGACAGACAGGUGCCGACAGAGUUACCCACUAUGCCCUAGCAGACAGACAGGGGCCUACGGAGUUACCCACUGUGCCCUAGCAGACAGACAGGUGCCGACGGAGUUACCCACUAUGCCCUAGCAGACAGACAGGGGCCUACGGAGUUACCCACUGUGCCCUAGCAGACAGACAGGUGCCGACAGAGUUACCCACUAUGCCCUAGCAGACAGACAGGGGCCUACGGAGUUACCCACUGUGCCCUAGCAGACAGACAGGUGCCGACAGAGUUACCCACUAUGCCCUAGCAGACAGACAGGGGCCUACAGAGUUACCCACUGUGCCCUAGCAGACAGACAGGUGCCGACAGAGUUACCC